rnacentral:rRNA from 1 species
GACGAACGCUGGCGGCGUGCUUAACACAUGCAAGUCGAACGGAAAGGCCCUUCGGGGUACUCGAGUGGCGAACGGGUGAGUAACACGUGGGUGAUCUGCCCUGCACUUUGGGAUAAGCCUGGGAAACUGGGUCUAAUACCGAAUAGGACCACGCGCUUCAUGGUGUGUGGUGGAAAGCUUUUGCGGUGUGGGAUGGGCCCGCGGCCUAUCAGCUUGUUGGUGGGGUAAUGGCCUACCAAGGCGACGACGGGUAGCCGGCCUGAGAGGGUGACCGGCCACACUGGGACUGAGAUACGGCCCAGACUCCUACGGGAGGCAGCAGUGGGGAAUAUUGCACAAUGGGCGCAAGCCUGAUGCAGCGACGCCGCGUGAGGGAUGACGGCC